rnacentral:lncRNA from 1 species
UCAUCAUCUGCAGAAGAUGCAGGAGGCGAGCAGCUUCAAGGCAAACCAGGAGUCUGCUGCCCAGAGUCCUCACCGAGAAGGGGAUGAAGCUUGGUCAGAACCUGGACAGCUUAUUAACCAACCAGAACGCUGCUAUGAAAAGCCCUUCUCGGUCAGCUACGGCGAAACUGCAGUCCUGCCUGCUUCACACAUACACCGGAGUUAAAGCAACGCCUCUGCGUGUGGCUCAGAU